rnacentral:rRNA from 1 species
GACGAACGCUGGCGGCGUGCUUAACACAUGCAAGUCGAACGGAAAGGCCCUGCUUGCAGGGUGCUCGAGUGGCGAACGGGUGAGUAACACGUGGGUGAUCUGCCCCUUACUUUGGGAUAAGCCUGGGAAACUGGGUCUAAUACUGGAUAGGACCAUGCUGGAGGUGGUGUGGUGGAAAGAUUAGUUUCGGUAAGGGAUGAGCUCGCGGCCUAUCAGCUUGUUGGUGGGGUAAUGGCCUACCAAGGCGUCGACGGGUAGCCGGCCUGAGAGGGUGGACGGCGACAUUGGGACUGAGGUACGGCCCAGACUCCUACGGGGGGCAGCAGUGGGGAAUAUUGCACAAUGGGCGCAAGCCUGCUGCAGCGACGCCGCGUGGGGGAUGACGGCCUUCGGGUUGUAAACUCCUUUCAGCCAUGACGAAGCCCUUGUGGUGACGGUAGUGGUAGAAGAAGCACCGGCUAACUACGUG